CUCAUACACCCUCCGUCCGGAAAUACUUGUCGAAGAAAUGCAUAGAAAUGGAUGUAUCUAGAACUAAAAUACGUCUAGAUACAUCCAUUCCUCCGACGAGUAUUUCCGGACGGAGGGAGUACUCU
rnacentral:pre_miRNA from 1 species